GAUCCGUGGACCUGGACAUUCCUUGGCUGUCUGGAGACAAGAAGCUUUGUUUGACAUGAUCAGUCUGAAAAGCCAGAGGGAGGGAUAGAAAACAAAAGGUCCGGCGUGUUUCGACUCGGAGCACUGUGAGGAUCUCAGAUUGGCCUCAGCGCUCGUGUGUGCUGCAUCUCUCUGUGUGUGUGUGUGUGUGUGUGUCACCAAGAGCUGGAUCUAAAGAAGUUGAAGCAAUCUAGAUUAAGAUGUAGCAGGAUGUUUGGAAUCAUUUAAAGAGGCGUUCAGGUUAUCAAUAUGAAUUCCUUAAUAAGCAGCAACGAUCCCUGGCUGCUUUAUGAGACUGAAGUGCCACACAGCAGGUGCUGUGAUCCGGCCUGUGGAGUCAGUCCUGCAGAGAAGCUGACCCCCGAGCACCUGCAGCUCCUGAGAGACUGCAUUUACCCGUCCAGAGGCUGCAGCACAGACACAGGAAGAGCGGCCGAGAGGAAGGAGAGCAAGGAACAGAGGAGGAAAUGAAGAGCGCGGAAUGAAGUUCGAAGAGUUUCGGGAGGUUAUGAGGUCUGUGGUCGGUCCAGAUGUUGAGGACACUUGGGUUGAGAGCUUCUUCAGUGAGGUAGAUGUCAGCUGCACCGGGCAGGUGAAGUGGCAGCAGCUUUGUUCCUACCUGCUCCUGGAGUACACUGAGAGAGAGCGCGCCUCCAUCCCCAGAGCGGCUCUCCUGGACUCCCAGCCGCAGAUCAGACACUGCGCUCACAACAAGCGGGAGGCAACCGUGCGUGUGGUUGCGGUCUCCCACCCUCCUCCGCUCCGCUACAUGAGUGUCAGUAAGGGAGGUCAGAUCACUGUCUGGAACAGCAGCCUACACAUCCUCCGAACGCUCGGGCUUGCUGGAGACCCAACGGAGGAAGUGGCCAGCACGAGGAGGUUCAGAGGCUGGACGUCUGAUGCCGUCUAUAUGGGCAACGUACACAGGGUUGCCGUAGCUACCGACUGCAGAGACUUGCACUUUGUCAACGUGUCCACGGCCGGUGUAUUUGAGGACGUCCAUCUUUUUGGGUUUCGCAGCGUCCCGACGGCUCUCUGUUACUGGCACGAUGUUCAGUGUCCAGAGCGACCGUCUCUGCUGCUGCUGGGGGAUGAAAGAGGAGGAGUCCACCUCCUGUGGUUCCUGAAUCCAUCUAAAGGUCUUUUCAAGAGUCCGUCCAAGGCGGAGAGCGGCCCACAGAGGAUCUUUCUCCCCGACCUCGGUGAACACAGCAACAUGGUCUCCCACCGUCACAUCCCCAACGUCCACCAGGAACCAAUCACCAGAGUGAUGUUUGAGCCCGGCGCCAACGUCAUCAUGACGUCAUCAGAGAGCGACACCUCCUCUGUGGUCUUUAUGAGCGUGACUCUGAAGCGGGAGCCUUACAUUUGGACGUUCAAGCAGGGAGCUAAAUGUUUCGACUACAACGCGUCCCUGCAGUUGAUGGUGACGGGAGGUUGCGACCGAGCCGUCAGACUGUGGACUCGAUUUGUGGUGUCGCGUCCCGUCGCCACGCUGCUGGGUCACCGCGCCGCAGUGCUGGAUGUGUCGAUCUACCAACCUGUUGGGCAGAUCUUCAGCUACUCCAGAGAUGCUGAGCUGAGGGUUUGGGACAUUUCCAGCCAUCGCUGUCUGAAAAUCGUCCACCUGCAGUUCCCCUGCCUGCAGCCAGGUCGGAUCCCAGAACACGGUAACUUCCCCUUCCUGCUGCUGAGCCCCCCUCUGACGGAGCACUCUCAUUUAGUGGUGGGAUGCAAAGACUACCUGGCACUGCUCCAUCUGGCUGACGCUAGAAGAGGAGGGGGCGGAUGGUUGACAGAUGAAGGAAAGGAACCGAACAUUCAAAGCGGUCCCGCCGUCUCCUGUGCUCUGUACAGCUCCGCUCUGAGACAGGUGGCGACUGGACAUGUCGACUCAUCAGUGUCUCUGUGGGACGUCGAGACGGGGAGGAGGCGUCUGCAGAUCUUGAACGCUCACGGAGAAGACGAGCUCACCUGCAUGACACUAGACUCCUCCCGCAGAAGACUGAUCACCGGGGCUCGCGGUGGCACCAUUAAGGUGUGGAACCUACUCAACGGCCUCAACCUGCACAAACUGGAGCCCGUCACCGACUCUGAGGUCACUGGGUUGACCUGUCUCCAUGACAACCAGGUGCUGGCUGUGGGGGGGAGCCGGCGAGUCGCUCAGUACGACAUCGCAGCUGCCAAGGAUCUGUAUGUGAGAGCAGACAUGUCGUGGAAGUCCAGCGGUGUCCACAAAUCAGACAUCUUGGCGGUGUGUCAGUGCUUCGCUCUGGGGGUCGUUGCCACGGCGAGCCACGACGGAGAGGUCAUUAUCUGGAGGCUGGAGACGCAAGGAGCAGCGCUGCACCUUCAGAGACCGACACAGAGAGGAGCGUUGCCCCCUGUGGACGCCCUCUUGUUCCUGCAGCAUCGGUCUGGCAACAGAAAGUUGAGAAACAGAGGUGUCCUGGUCUCAACGCAGGCUGGCUGCCUCUGCUUUUGGAGCGUCACUGGACAGACGCACACUUACGGCCAGUUUUACGCUCCAGAGCAGCCGGGCGAGCGUGUGCUGAGCCUGAGCUCAGAUCAGCCUCAGAACACCAUCCUGGUCUCUGGAGAUACAACGGGCCGGCUGCAGAUCUGGGACAUCCGUCACUAUGCACUGGACAUCCAACAUGAACCAGAUAGUGAGCGGCCUCCUCUGCUGCAGAGUCUGAAGGCUCACGAGAGAGCGUUAGUGAGUGUGGAAGUCCUCCAGGUGACUGACAGGUCGUUCGUCCUCACAGCCUCAGCUGACGGCUCUGCUGCACUGUGGACAAAGGAUGGAGACCAUGUGGGUUUCUUCGGGCAGGAAGUGAUUUGGAAUAUCACUGAGCCAGCUUCUUACCGGAGGAAGACACAAAGGAAACGGACAGAAGACACGGAGGAGACGACUGAAGGGGAUGAAACGGCACUCAGCGAGGUCAAAAGUCAAAUGCAUGGUCCCGCCAACAGGAAGAAUGCUGUUCUAUAGUUAAUCUGUCAGCGCAAACAGCUUCACCCACCAGCCGUGCAGAGAAUGACCACAAGCAACCCAUGGAGAUGCCUCCAUUGAGGAAUUACCCACAAUCCUCUGGGUGCAUCAGACUUGCAGAAAAGCCUCACAGCAGUUGGAAGGAAAAUGAGCACCCUACCUGUCCAGUCAGAUUUAUAACAGAAGAUGCAGACGUUGUUAUGCCUUCCUCUGUUUCAUAAAGUUGUGUUGAAACUGUACAUUGAAUAUGUUUGUAUACGAACGUCAUGAAUACUGUGCUGCAGCACGCUGCAUUUAGCUUAUUCUUUCUCAUUCAUUACAAACUCUGCUCACAUUUCAUGCUGUUCCUGUUUUGGAUGCACAAUGGUUGACACAGUUCCUUUGUGCCGUAAAUCCAGCCUUCAUUUCUUUCCGGGAGAUCACAUGCAGACAUAAUUGCAUAUUCAAAGUGAGGCCUGUAGGGAUCCAAUCCCACCGCUGAUGAUGUCAUUAUUCUAUAGCCAUUACAUUGUGCAUGCAACAUUUACUUCAUGACAAGUUAAAGCAAAAAGAAAAGCUCCGGCUUCCAGCUAAACUGUAAGCGAACUAGCUCUACCUGACACCAGCACGUUCCUGCCCCCGUCCAAGAAACAUCCAAGUUGUUAUCUUCUGACAGACGCGAGCCGUUUCCCUGUUUCCUGUCUUAAUGCUGCACUAAGUGUCGGCUUUGGUGAACGACUGCUUUACGUUUCUUUAAUAAAGCAUUUG